rnacentral:rRNA from 1 species
GAUGAACGCUGGCGGCGUGCCUAAUACAUGCAAGUCGAGCGAACAGAUGAGGAGCUUGCUCCUCUGACGUUAGCGGCGGACGGGUGAGUAACACGUGGAUAACCUACCUAUAAGACUGGGAUAACUUCGGGAAACCGGAGCUAAUACCGGAUAAUAUAUUGAACCGCAUGGUUCAAUAGUGAAAGACGGCUUUGCUGUCACUUAUAGAUGGAUCCGCGCCGCAUUAGCUAGUUGGUAAGGUAACGGCUUACCAAGGCAACGAUGCGUAGCCGACCUGAGAGGGUGAUCGGCCACACUGGAACUGAGACACGGUCCAGACUCCUACGGGAGGCAGCAGUAGGGAAUCUUCCGCAAUGGGCGAAAGCCUGACGGAGCAACGCCGCGUGAGUGAUGAAGGUCUUCGGAUCGUAAAACUCUGUUAUUAGGGAAGAACAAAUGUGUAAGUAACUAUGCACGUCCUGACGGUACCUAAUCAGAAAGCCACGGCUAACUACGUG